AAUAUGGUGGUCCCCUUAGUUAAAAUUCUUUUAUGCCUUGCAUCGUAACUUUAUGCGGAAAUUGAAAUGUUUACUUUAGUCUAAGCAAAUCUUAAUUCUUAAAAGAAGCCACGAAUAUGCAUUGAAUAUGAAUCAAUCGACUGGUUCAAAAUUGAUGAGUUAUGGUCAUCAUCCACACGCUCAAUGGAGGAAAGGAAAAUAUAAGAUCUGCCACCAUAUGACUUGGACACUGGUGAAAAGAGGAGCUGAGCUUGUCAACUGAUCACCACCUAGUGUCCAAUCAGGAGGCUGCAUUCCUGCCCAAGGGAGACAGCUGUCGGAGGCGUCGUCAAGGCGACAGCAUCAGUUCCUGCUCCGUCUGACUUCUCUCAGCAUCUUCCAUGCCUCCAGGGUAACACAUCUGAUCAGGGUCUGAUCAAGCCUAAUUGGGUUCGCCAGAGGGGCUCUAUGAGAAAGACAUCUUAAGUGGGGAACAGUCACAUUUAAAGACACGAACAUUUCCUAAGUAUUAAUGAGGGCCCAGUGACAGUAAGUUUCCCUGAUGAGCAUAUCUCAGCUUUCAGCCAGCCUUAGUCUCCUCCAACAAUCUAGAAGUUCUUUUUGGUUCUGUUUUCUCAUUCUUAAAAUCAUAGGAGUGAAAAUCUAUCAGAAUCAAAACUUAG